UGCGUAGGCGGUCCGGGAAGUUGGGUGUGAAAUCCCUCGGCUCAACCGAGGAACUGCGCCCAAAACUGCCGGGCUUGAGGGAGACAUAGGUGCGCGGAACCUAGGGUGGAGCGGUGAAAUGCGUUGAGAUCCUAGGGAACACCAGUAGCGAAAGCGGCGCACUGGGUCUCUUCUGACGCUGAUGCACGAAAGCUAGGGGAGCGAAGA
rnacentral:rRNA from 1 species